CGCAAAUUACCCAAUCCUGACUCAGGGAGGUAGUGACAAGAAAUAACAACACUGGAAAUUUUAUUUCUAGUGAUUGGAAUGAUGGGAAUUUAAACCCCUUUCAGAGUAACAAUUGGAGGGCAAGUCUGGUGCCAGCAGCCGCGGUAAUUCCAGCUCCAAUAGCGUAUAUUAAAGUUGUUGCAGUUAAAAAGCUCGUAGUUGGAUAUCUGCUGGAAGCAAUCAGUCCGCCCUAUUUGUAGGGUGUGCACUUGAUGAAUUCUGGCAUCUAUGUCCCGAUAAUAUAACGUGGAGGUCGUCCUCCCGUUUAUUGGGAACAUACUGUUACUUUGAGAAAAUUAGAGUGUUUGAAGCAGGCUAAUUGCCUUGAAUACUGCAGCAUGGAAUAACAAUAUAGGAUUUCGGUUCUAUUUUGUUGGUUUCUAGGACUGAAAUAAUGAUUAAUAGGGACAGUUGGGGGCAUUCGUAUUUAACUGUCAGAGGUGAAAUUCUUAGAUUUGUUAAAGACGAACUACUGCGAAAGCAUUUGCCAAAGAUGUUUUCAUUAAUCAAGAACGAAAGUUAGGGGCUCGAAGACGAU
rnacentral:rRNA from 1 species